GGCUGGAUGGCAGAGUGGUUAUGUAGCGGACUGCAACUCCGUGUACACCGGUUCGAUUCCGGUUCCAGCCUCCA
rnacentral:tRNA from 2 species